CCAUGUGCUACCAACUGAGCUACACUGGACAUAGUUUUAAUAAUAGUGAAAAAAAGAAAAAACUCAGAUUCAUUUUAGGAAUUGUAUCUGUUUCUAUUGCAUCUGUAAAUUAUUGUUAAGUGUGUGUGUGAAUUCUUUUUUAGUGUUUGUGUGUGUGCGUGUGUGAGAGUGAGUGAGUGAGUCAGAGAGAGGACCACUGGGCGGCAGGUAGCCUAGCGGUUAACAGCGUUAGGCCAGUAACUGAAAGGUCGCCCGUUUGAAUCCCUCAGCCGACUAGCUGACUAAGGUUGCUGUUUGGAAUCCCUCAGCCGACUAGCUGACUAAGGUUGCUGUUUGGAAUCCCUCAGCCGACUAGCUGACUAAGGUUGCUGUUUGGAAUCCCUAAGCAGACUAGGUGGAAGAAAAAAAAGUAUGUUGAUCUGCCCUUCAGCAAGGCACUUAACCCUAAGAGCUUCUGCUAAAUUAUUUAAAUGUACAUUUUCUUCAUGAAACAGAAACUGAACUGGGAACAAAAGUGAUGUCUAGUCUUCUGGAACAGAACUGUUAUUUACAAAUCUUGAAAAUCGGUUUAUAUAAUGUUAUUUUAAGUUCCAAAAGUAUUCCUAAUGUCUAGUAUAUAAUUAUGUAAUUCAGUGAAGUUCUGAUGCUAGUAAUAGCCUAAACACAUUCCAAUUCACAUCAUGAUGUUCAGUGCUUCAAGCCAUGCGCCCUCCAUGUCCACCCCCCACUCUCGCUCUCUCCCCACCCGUAAAAUGUCAGUCGCAUCUCGCAGCCUGCACUAAUCUGGGAGCUCAGUUUGAAAGUGUACCAUUGAAAACGUGCAAUAUCAUAAAUGAUCACCAUCCACUGUACUCAGAUGAAGUGUCUGGAGAACUGGAGCGUGAAGAUAUCCACAACGCCGUGGAUAAAAUGAACUGCAAGCACUUCCACUUGAAUUUGGACUAAUCCAAUGUGGAUUUAUCAGGAGUUGGCUGUAUUCAGCCAACGUUACUGGGAUCUGUGAUCUUGAUUCACCUGUUAUUUAAAAAUCAAAUGUGAUAUGAACAGUCUUUACUUGUGCCUUUUAACAAAACUGGUUUGAUGAUUGCUUGAAUUAAAAUUCUAUGUAAAUUCUAUUUAAAUGAUCUGAUACAUUUUA